AUCUAAAUAGUUUAAUUGAAAAUAUUGGUUUGUGGUGCCGAUGAUAUAAAUUUUUUAUUUUGGAUU
rnacentral:tRNA from 1 species